UACAGAGGUCCCAAGCGUUGUUCGGAUUCAUUGGGCGUAAAGGGUGCGUAGGCGGCGCGGUAAGUCGGGUGUGAAAUCUUGGAGCUUAACUCCGAAACUGCAUUCGAUACUGCCGUGCUUGAGGACUGGAGAGGAGACUGGAAUUUACGGUGGAGUGGUGAAAUGCGUAGAGAUCCGGAGGAACACCGAAGGCGAAGGCAGUGUCCUGGCGCGUAACUGACGCUGAGGUGCGAAAGCCAGGGGAGCGAACGGG
rnacentral:rRNA from 1 species